GAUGAACGCUGGCGGCGUGCCUAAUACAUGCAAGUCGAGCGAACGGACGAGAAGCUUGCUUCUCUGAUGUUAGCGGCGGACGUGUGAGUAACACGUGGAUAACCUACCUAUAAGACUGGUAUAACUUCGGGAAACCGGAGCUAAUACCGGAUGAUAUUUUGAACCGCAUGGUUCAAAAGUGAAAGACGGUCUUGCUGUCACUUAUAGAUGGAUCCGCGCUGCAUUAGCUAGUUGGUAAGGUAACGGCUUACGAAGGCAACGAUGCAUAGCCGACCGGUGAGGGUGAUCGGCCACACUGGAACUGAGACACGGUCCAGAGUCCUACGGGAGGCAGCAGUAGGGAAUCUUACGCAAUGGGCGAAAGCCUGACGGAGCAACGCCGCGUGAGUGAUGAAGGUCUUCGGAUCGUAAAACUCUGUUAUUAGGGAAGAACAGAUGUGUAAGUAACUGUGCACAUCUUGACGGUACCUAAUCAGAAAGCCACGGCUAACUACGUG
rnacentral:rRNA from 1 species